CUUUUUUUAUUUGUCUUUAUCAUUUUUAUUUUUUAUAGGAAAAUAAUAGGAACCGAAGACCUCCUCAAAAAAUCCUCUGCGUUUCUCUCAUCAAUCCUCCAUUGUUGAAGCUUCCUCUCCGACUCCGGUUGCUCUCUCAGAGCCGGAGUCGGGUUUAGCUUUCUUUGAAUCAUCCUUUUUGGGCUUUAAUCGGUUAAGAUCUUCAUGUUUUAGUUCUCCUUUUUUUUCUUUGGUUGGAUUUCUAGAUCUAGAUCUUAUCCUUCCAUGAGAUGAGAGCUUUGCAUGUUGAUCCUUGUGUGUUAUAUUGAUCGAUCUAGUUGAAAUGAGUUGGGUUUUAUUUUCCUUCUCGUUAAGAACCUGUUUUCGGUUUGAAUGAUUUGCAUGUUGGCUUUGUGUUCUCUUUGGCUCAUUUUGGGUCUCGAUCUUCGGCCUUCUUGAUCUUUCGAGAAUGGUUAAACCCAUUUAUGAGUUGUCUCGCUCCUUGUCUUCAACCAAAAGAUUUGAUCGGGUUCUUAUCUUUCGUCUUGCUUCAUCUCGGUGUCUCGUGACAUUCUAUCUUCGUCAACAUUCUAUCUCCGUCAUCGCCAUUCAAGUUGUAGACUUAAAAACUGAUAUUGUUCUGUCUCUUGGAUUUCGAAGCACUGGUCUCCUAAUCGCAUGGGCUAUUCUCUAUAGGAGGAGUCACAAGCCGGAGGUUUUAGCUUUGGAUGCAUCCUCGCCUUGUCUCGUUCAAAGGGGCUCACUUCAAGUCAUCGUGCUUCUUGUUUAUUGUUUUGUAAAGGUUCUUUUAUUUGGUUCUUCACUUCUUCUAGUUUAGAUCAGUUUGUAUUAAGGAUGGUUCAUGCUCUGGUUUUUAUGUUGUUCAUUGUCUCUCAUGUAUGGGCUGUUGUUUCCGGGAAUCUUUCUUUUGGUUCGUCGGACUGCUUUUACCGGGAUUAUGGUAAUCGUCGGUCUAUGUAUUUGGUUUUCGUUGAUAUAAAUGAAAUCUAUUAUUAUAAAGUAGAGUUCCCUCACUCCUGAGGGCUCCACGUCAGAUUCCAUGUCAUAAACUCACGCGACCAGAGCAUGACACGUGGCGGCGUUAAAUGAAACGCACUGGUGUGGACUUUGACUUUCAUCGUCUCUUCGCGUUGCUCUCCGGUUUUGAGGCGCAGCUACCACACAAGUAGAGAGGAACCCUAAUCCUGGCUGUGCCUGCGCACCUUUGUGUUCUUCGUUUAUAGCCGAAGCGGUGCUCAUCCGGUGUAGAGGCCAGGCUGCUACAAUUCUGGGAGGCUAGGAAUGUCAAACAUGGUGGAAAGCUCAUGUGGAUGGAUUUGCAGCGCGGAACGGCCUUGGCUUUGAGUUCACGUCGUCUCCGCAUUAAUUGGCAUCACCAUUCUCCAGAGUAACUGAUUGAAGCUUCGAUUAUAUGUUGAUUUGUAGCCUCCGCUGUACAUCUUUCCUGCUACGUAGAUGACAGACAUGAUGUGGUUGAGACUCAACUGCAGCUAGGAAGAGUUAAGGACUGGAUCAUCUCUCACCAACUCAAAACUCUGGAGCUCCCAUAUGUUCUUUCAAACUUCCCGGACAUAUUCUCGGCUCUGACUGAAGAAAUCAUGGACCAGCUGGAGAAAGAAUGUGUUCUUUUAGAACAAGGAAGGACACAUACAUCAAAAACAGAGACGAGGGAAUUCAAGUUUGUGACAAAAAGAUCUGAUGUAAAGAACUAAAGCUGCUCCAAAAGACUGGAAGAGCUAUAGCUCCUGAAGACUACAGUUACAUGAAAGUAGCUUCACAGCAUGUUGGAUGGAGAAGCCAACUAGACAGCAGUUUGUAGGCUAAUCCAAGAAGGCUACAUGCAAGAUACAAGCAGCCGCAGUCUAUGUUUAUAAUAUAUGAGCUCCUGUUUGACUCCAUGAGGAAACUGAAACAUUCGUUAAAAAAGGAGAAACCGUAACAUGACAGGAGAUUGCUACUAAGGAAGAAGGGAAGGAGUUUAUCAACAAUAAAGAGUAUUUCUUUCUUUAGCGAUGACUUUAAUAUCUCAUAAGAGGUUUGUCAUCAAGGAGAAACAUCAUCUGUCUGAGAUUGGAUAUUCCGAUGCAACACUGAAAGAAAGAUUGUAUCAUUGCUUCCUGGGUAUUCGUCUUCUUUUAGGAGCCCACGGAGAAAAUGGGACCAGGAUCCAACUCUGCUUUCAGAUCUGCUUCGGAGUAUUUCAUGAGGUCUGAAACAUUGGCAGGUACUUUUUGUUUUUUCCCCGUUUCAAGAAACAUUAACAAUUUGUUUGUUGACCAAUGGUGUCUUUGAUAUUUUGUAUAACUAUCAAAAAGAGAUGGAAACUGCUUCGUUAAGACAAUUAGUAGUCCUUAUGUGUCCAAUAGCGGCCACAACUUCGUCACCAUUGAGAUAUCAGUACUUGAAGCUUAUGAUGUAGUAAAAAAAGAGAGCCAACCACAGCCGUCUCUUCUCUCUGCGGCCUCACCAUCUCACUGUAUAUCUAGAACCAAUGAAUACACGUUAGUUCUUAAGUCGCCCUUCAGUCAAUAUGAAAUUAUUCCAGCAAGAGGUAUGAGUGGUUUUUAUUUCUUAAAACUAUACUUACUACUGAACUUAGGAUUUAGAAUUUGGAAUUCUUCAAUUAAUUAUUAGCUGACAUUGACUCAUCUCCAACAAAAUCAGGUGAAGCAAAUA